rnacentral:sRNA from 1 species
GCCGGGUGUGGUGGCACACACCUGUAAUCCCAGUGACUCAGGAGGCUGGGGCAGGAGGAUCGCAAGUUCAAAGCCAGCCUCGGCAAUGGCAAGGCUCUAAGCAACUCCCUGUCUCUA